AAUCAACGCUGGCGGCGUGCCUCAGACAUGCAAGUCGAACGCGAAAUUUCCCUUCGGGGAGAAAGUAGAGUGGCGCACGGGUGAGUAACACGUAGGUAAUUUGCCUUCGGGUGGGGAAUAACUCAGGGAAACUUGAGCUAAUACCGCAUAAUGCAGCGGCUCGACAUCGAGACAGUUGUUAAAGCGGGGGAUCGCAAGACCUCGCGCCUGAAGAGAAGCCUGCGGCAGAUUAGCUAGUUGGUAGGGUAAUGGCCUACCAAGGCGACGAUCUGUAACCGGCCUGAGAGGGCGGUCGGUCACACUGACACUGACAUAC
rnacentral:rRNA from 1 species